CCUUGGGCUGUGGGGAAGGGAAAGGCACUUUUACAGUGUUUUGGAACAUUUUUCUUCCUCGGGAUUCUGACUUUUCACCACAUAUUUAUGCUACGUUGAGAGAGGAGAAGAAAAGAAAAAGAACUCAAAGGUUUUACAGUUUCGAAGCAAAUAAAGGGGAGAUGCUGUUGUGGCUGCAGAGGUGAGCUAUGGACAGCUGGUGGAAGAGAAUCAGGCCCCAUGGUAAAGAGGGAAAGGACGGAGCAGCUCUCUUGUCUGCCAGAAGAGAUGAACAUUGCAGUGGGCAUACCAUGGGGCCAGACCACCAGCAGAGCAUUAAACAAGGACAGAUGUGAAUGCCAGGAUAAAAAUGAAGACAUUCCUGAAGUGCUUACUGAAGCUGUUGAUGAUAGUAUUUCAGAACUUACAAGUUUUCCUGACCCAGCUUUGAGCAGUUUACAGUGUCAUCAUAUUUUCCAUCUGAAAAUCUAGGCAGAAGAGCAUGUUUACAAUAGUUCCGUUAGAAAUAGCUUGAGAAAGUCUUCAGUGGGAGAAACCCAAAAGACUUUGGAGGUGAGCCUAUGAAGUACUUGAGUAGAAAUGAGGGUGGUUCCAAUGCCUCCCUGAAGGUAUGGUAUCUUCUUGCGAAGCUCCCUGAGAACCAGGAACAAGGAGCUGUCACAGCAGCAAGGAUGGGAUAUCCCACAGCUGUCAACAGGAGCACCCAGGAGCUGCAGUGAGGGUGUUGGACACUGUACAAAAGAGGGGCAGAUCAUCAGUAGCAGUAUUUAGAGGCAUUGCAGAGCUUUGACCAUUGAAUUCCUCAUAGCGAGCUGCAACCUGCUAGUCAACAAUCCAAGUACAAGGAGACUAAUGACUAAAAAUUCAGCCUCUUCUGAACAACUGAUGGAGUUCUGUUCCUGAGCUACCUCCUCCUCGAUUCAUUCAGCAUGAAUGGCAGAUUCCUAUAUCGUGUCAAGUUUCAGAUCACCAUAGAAACAAACUAGGAGGCAGUUUCAUUAAUCAUUUAGAGCACAAGAAGUCUAGGUCAGUCUGAUUGCAGCAUAUAGAGUAUCAUCCUAGCGCCACAUGGGACUCAGUUGAUUUGAAUUAAAAAAGAUUAAGCUGCCCCUAGGACGCUCAGCAUCAUCAGUUUAAGUUCUCAUGUAACAGUGGUCUCUGGAGCCACAUGGAUUAGGAGACUGAAGCUAUGCAUUUAUUUUUCAGGGCUCAGUGAAACAUUAGAUGAGUGCAGGUGUCUGAGGGGAAAAAAGGACAAAGAUCACAUAUAGUUUUUUAGACUUGUUGCUGUUCUUUUGAAACUGGAAACAAUAACUCAGUUUUAUUUCUUCAGUGACAGUUACCACUCUUUUUUGGCAAUGCAGUGGUACAUCUGUUACCCAAUGUUUACAACUUAGAUUUAUAACAAUUUCAUACUAGGCACCCUAAUUUUAGUGCAGAGCUGCAAGUUGGGCAUAGAACAGUUUACAUGAAUGCUGACUAUUUUUUUCAUGAUGGAGUAAAAAAUGCACAAAAUAAAUACUGGUGACACUUUAGUUUUACUUGAAUGAAGAUUUAUUGCUCCCAGGAAACUUACUUACAGGCAGCUACAAAUCAACUUGACUAUGAAAUAGCUGUAUAUGUACACCACAAAAUGAGCCCCCCCUCCCAAAGUACUCACCUUAUUUAUGGGUCUUUCCAGUACUUCAAAGACCUUUAGUAACUUAGUCCAGACUGGUUUAUUGCUUCAUAGAACUAAGACGUUUCAAGAGGAAAGUCGUAGGUUACAGUGUAUUAGGACUCUCUCUUGGGCGGCUGAGAAUCCCAUGAUGCUAUAUGAACUGUUGAUCUAAAGCUUAUUAUAGCCUCACUUCCUACAGUAUAAUUCUUAAAUCUUUUAAGUUAUACAGUGCUGUCUUUAAUCCUGAGCACUAAACCUUAAAGCAGAACUAGUUUUCUAAUAACCAGAGUACCAUCUGUGAGUAGAUAUAAUUAUGCUUUGUAAAAAUACAGUUCACUUGCUUGCACAGGUGGUCCACGACCUAUUUCAAAUUAUUUGAAUUUUCAAAAAAUGUUUUACAUAGAAAAAUCUGGGAGCGAAAUCCACUGUCCCAGUAUUCUUUGUGGAGGAAAAAAAUGUAUGUGGGUAGAUGUAUUCCACUUUACUCAAGAACCAGAACACCUCACCCUUUGUGUUUUUCCAAUUUGCCCUUUCUGUGCGAGUUAUCUGGGCUUUGAUAGUAUCAGUGUAUCAGUGGUGAAGUCUCCUGUUAUGUAACACAUCUAUGGACAUGGAAAUAUAGUAAAUACUUUUUUUUUUCCCCCC
rnacentral:lncRNA from 7 species